rnacentral:rRNA from 1 species
UACGUAGGGUGCAAGCGUUGUCCGGAAUUAUUGGGCGUAAAGAGCUCGUAGGCGGUUUUUCGCGUCGAAUGUGAAAACCCGGGGCUCAACCCCGGGCCUGCAUUCGAUACGGGCAGACUAGAGUUCGGUAGGGGAGUCUGGAAUUCCUGGUGUAGCGGUGAAAUGCGCAGAUAUCAGGAGGAACGCCGGUGGCGAAGGCGGGACUCUGGGCCGAUACUGACGCUGAGGAGCGAAAGCGUGGGGAGCAAACAGG